UAUGAAGAAAAUAUGACGACGGUAAAAAUAGUAAAUUUUAGCUAGUAAAAGGUAAUUUUUAUUCGGGUAUUAUUUUUAGGGGUGUUUUAUUUGUAGGAGUUGGGUAUAUUAGUGUUGUUGGACCGGGUGUAGAGGCCCAUUUCUCUUUUCUCUUUUUCUCCUCUUUUCUCCUCCCGGUUUUCUCUCCCCCGAGCCCUCCCGCCGUCCGGAAUUCCGACCACCAGACCGCCGCCGUCCGGCCGCCCCAGACCGCCGCACCGGUCCCAAUCGAUCGGUCUCUGACCCAGCUAUCUUCUAGGACCGGUAGCAGCCCCCCUAGCGCCGCCGUGAGAGAGCGGUGCCGCCCGAAAGGAUAGGCUGCCCCGAACUUCCGGUCGCCGGAACUCCCUCCUCCGGCCACCAAUCCGGGCAAGCUUGGUACGGUUUUGUAGCCCUCCUCCCGUGCAGCAACCCCUCCAAGCAGCUCCCUCCCUCUUGAGCUAGGUAAGGAGAAAUGUGGAGUUGAAAUUUCUAGGGCUUUUAAGUUGUUUUCGUUCGAUUAGCCUAGUUAGGCUUGGAAUUGGGUGAUGUGUUGGUCAUGAAAGUUGUAGAGGAGAUUGAGAGGAAGAUUCUGUUAAAAUUUGGUAGCAUUUGCAGGUCGCCGGAGUUGGUCGCCGGCCGCCGCUGCUAGCGGAGCCGCCGGCGGCGCCGCCGCUGUUUUGGGAAAUUUUGUGGUUUUUGAUGUAGAAUAUUAAGAGGAUAUUAUUGAGGUGAAUUUUGGAAUUUUUGGAUGAGAUUUGGAUAGGUUUGUGAAUUUCCGAAGUUUGGUAUUUUUGGCGGUUAAUUAAUGUAGAAUCCGGCCGUAGGAUUUAAGUCGUAUUUUGAGGAGGUGGUAUUUACGACUGUUGAGUAUGAUAUUUAAGUUCGGAUCGUUCCGAUUUAAGAUUAUCGAAGUUAGGCAAUGAUGAGCGUAUUUAUGGCUCUCGGGUAAUUUUGCCUAUUUUGAUUAAAUAUUGGAUUAUUGGUUGGGAAAUUAAUAUU
rnacentral:lncRNA from 1 species